CCUCCAUUGUUAAACCCUAAAUCCCUUGGAGGUAAAUAUUUUCCCUCUUUUUAUGUUUGUGUUGUUGAUUCCUUGGAUUUUUCUGUUGUUGUAUGAUCUCUAAAUUCCUUGUCAGUUUGGAUUGUAUCAAAUGUAAUAUUUUCUGUGUGAAUAUUUGAUGAUGAUAAAGUUUCAAAGAGCUAGUGAGGGGUUGAUUGAAUUUUUUCCUGUUAAAAUAGAAACCAUAGGGUCACAAAAUGAAUCAAUUGCGCCGUUGUUAGGUAAAAUAGGUUGUAAGGGGUUGGUCUUUGUAAAUUACUUAUAUUUUUACAUGUAUAGUUUUACAAUGGUGCUUUGAUUAUGAUUCUCAUUGUAGCUACACAAUUUCCCUUUCAAUUUCAGUGGUUUUUUCACUCCAAAAACCUGAUUAUGAUUCAAACAUCAAUGUUGAUUAUAAUGAUUACAGGAUUUGUAUGACAUGAAGAAGCGGUUGAAGGAAUUGGAAGAUUGGAAGAUGAAUACAUCAAUGUAGGGUUUUUUCAACAGUUUUUUUGUUCAACUUUUUAGUUCUCUUUAUUGAUACAUGUACUGUAGGCAUUUAUUUUCAGAAUGGAUAUUUAUAUUGAUUUGGGAUUUGGGAGAAACCAAGCUCUCUAGGAAAAGAAGUUCUGCCUAAUUUGUCAAUAGUUUCUUUUUUUUUUCUUUUCAACUUUUUAGUUCUUGGUGAAGAGGUGCUACAUGCUUGAGUGCCCUGGUGAUCAAGUUGCCUAUUAUUUUUACCACUGAGGGAUGUAUAUCAUAUGAAGAUGUUCUCCAUCAUGUGGAUGGGAGAGGCAUGUGCUGAGAUGCUUGAGUGUCUCCUAGCACAAUGACAACCCUUUUACUAGAUUCUCGAUCAAUCUUUGUGUAUUGAAGGGAAAGUUAUAGGAAAAGAGUUGGUGAAAAACAGCUCCAUUAUUUUGGUGAACAUUUACAUUGCUGAUAUGCAUAUUUUGUGUAACUUUGUUCCAUCCUGAGUCAUGUAGGGAGUGGAUGUAUGAGUUGAAUCUUGUGUGCCUUUGCUCUCUAAUUGCUUACUGUUUUGCAGCUUUUAAUUGGCAAUUCUAUAUAUGAUUUCUUUAGAGUGUUUCUUGCUUUAGAAUUGUCUGACCAGCUCCCCACCUCUUUGUGUUUAGAACCUAAAAGUCAUGGUUUGUUUUUUGUUAUAGAAGCAUCCUUGGCUUCGAUUUUCUGUAGGGUUUGCUAGGCUUUAUGAUUUAGCGAUUUUAACAUUUUUUCAUUAUUUAUAGUCUAAUUAUUUGUUAGUUAUAUGAUUCAGGAGAAGUAACUUUGUGUGAUUUGAUUGCAAAAUGUAGUGGACGAGAUAAAGAAUAAUCCUAAAGUGCUAAGAUUACAAAAGCUGAAGCGCUCAAUAAAAGCCAAUCCGACACUUCAAGAAUUGUCAAAGGUAUGUUUUGUAACAAUUACUAAUAUUUGGUCUAUGAUUCAACUUAUAGUUGCUGCAAUAUUAGAACGAUUUAUUCUAGUGAAUAUCUUAUAUGUGACCGAAAACGUGUUUAACUUGCUAUGAAAUUGAAAAGUAAGUUCUUUCUAAAACUAUGCUUGUCAGGGAGGACCCUUGUUUGAGUUAAAAUCAUGUUGUAUCAAAUUAAGAAUAAUAUUCUAGUGUGUGUUUUGGGGCUCAAACUGGUUUUGCGGGAAUUCUGAAGCUUAUUUUCUCUUUCAAAACUUUAUUCUAAUUAAGGCCAAUGCUCCAUUACGUGUGAUGGUCAUUGGCUUAUCAAUAACAGAACUCUGGAUACUGCAAUAUCAGAAUCUUUUCCUAGAACUGCAAUAUCAUUUAGUGUUUAUAUUGAUAGACUGAUGGAAGUUGAGGUAGGAAGCUGGCUAUGUGGCUACUAUUUUGAAUGACUUGUGAAAGACACAUACAAGAUGACCAUGUAAAUCAUUCUUAUAGUUGAGGUUAGAGCCAAGGUAGUAUGUUUUGGAAACUUUAAAAAAUCAUUUUCUUAUUUUUCAAUUCUUACUUUGUUUUUUAGUGAAAUAGUUUGGACUCUUUCUUUUAGUGAAAUAGUUUGGACUCUUUCUUGAAAAUGUUAGAUUCAUUUGUG
rnacentral:lncRNA from 1 species